rnacentral:sRNA from 1 species
CAGAGCCUUGGCUCAAAGGCAAACAAAAGGAAAUGCCCGGCUCCCCAUGGCUGUGGCCAGCACCUUCAUGCCGGGGCUCAACCCUCAGAACCCUCAUUAUAUCCCUGGCAUGGGCCAGACCUAUGGGCAGGUGACUGGUCAGCUACUUCGAGGCCCUCCUGGCCUAGGCUGGCCCCCUGUCCACCGCACACUUCUGCCUCCCAUUCGGCCUCCAAGAUCUCCUGAGGUUCCCAGGGAGAGCCUACCUCUCAGGCGUGGGCAUGAAAGGCUCAGCUCCAGCAUGAUCCCUGGGUACACAGGUUUUGUACCCCGGGCACAGUUCAUCUUUGCCAAGAACUGCAGCCAGAUCUGGGCCGAGGCUCUGAGUGACUUUACUCACUGUGAAGAGCUGCCAAAGGAGGCCAAGGGAAGGAAGGACACAGAGAAGGAACAGGUGCCAGAGCCGGAGGGGCAGCUGGAGGAGCCAACACUGGAGGUGGUGGAACAAGCAUCUCCCUACUCCAUGGAUGACAGGGACCCUCGGAAGUUCUUCAUGUCAGCUUUCCUGUGCUCACCAACCAGGCACUGCAGGAAUUUGGGCAGAAGCACUCACCAGGCAGUGCCCAGGACCCCAAACAUCUCCCCCCGCUUCCCAGAACAUACCCUCAGAACCUGGGUCUUUUACCUAACUAUGGGGGCUACGUGCCAGGGUAUAAGUUCCAGUUUGGCCACACAUUUGGCCAUCUCACCCAUGAUGCUCUGGGCCUCAGCACCUUCCAGAAGCAGCUCUUGGCUUAGGCCCCUGGACAUCAAGUUCCCUUCCCUUUUCAUCCUAUCCCAGCCAUCCUUUUGGAAGGGAGAAAGGUGGGUGGGGGAGCACAAAGAGGAAAUGGUCUGGAGGCUGAGCACCUUUUUUAUUAAUAGGUAUAAUAAAUAAAUAAAUAAAUACAUAAACAGA